UACGUAGGGUGCGAGCGUUGUCCGGAAUUAUUGGGCGUAAAGAGCUCGUAGGCGGUGUGUCACGUCGGCCGUGAAAACCUGGGGCUUAACUCUGGGCGUGCGGUCGAUACGGGCAUCACUAGAGUUCGGCAGGGGAGACUGGAAUUCCUGGUGUAGCGGUGAAAUGCGUAGAUAUCAGGAGGAAUACCGAUGGCGAAGGCAGGUCUCUGGGCUGACACUGACGCUCAUGCACGAAAGCGUGGGGAGCAAACAGG
rnacentral:rRNA from 1 species